UCAGCUCGUGCCGUGAGGUGUUGGGUUAAGUCCCGCAACGAGCGCAACCCCCGCGGCCAGUUGUGGUUUUCUGGCCGGACUGCCCCUUACGGGGAGGAAGGAGGGGAUGACGUCAAGUCAGCAUGGCCCUUACGCCCUGGGCGACACGCACGCUACAAUGGCCAGGACAGUGGGUUGCCAAGCCGCGAGGUGGAGCCAAUCCCCCAAACCUGGUCGUAGUUCGGAUCGGGGGCUGCAACCCGCCCCCGUGAAGCUGGAGUCGCUAGUAACCGCGGGUCAGCACUACCGCGGUGAAUAUGUUCCCGGGCCUUGUACACACCGCCCG
rnacentral:rRNA from 1 species